CAGUCGCCGCGGUAAAACGUAGGUCCCGAGCGUUGUCCGGAUUUAUUGGGCGUAAAGCGAGCGCAGGCGGUUAGAUAAGUCUGAAGUGAAAGGCAGUGGCUCAACCAUUGUAGGCUUUGGAAACUGUUUAACUUGAGUGCAGAAGGGGAGAGUGGAAUUCCAUGUGUAGCGGUGAAAUGCGUAGAUAUAUGGAGGAACACCGGUGGCGAAAGCGGCUCUCUGGUCUGUAACUGACGCUGAGGCUCGAAAGCGUGGGGAGCGAACAGGAUUAGAUACCCCUGUAGUCCCUGUCUCUUAUACA
rnacentral:rRNA from 1 species